rnacentral:tRNA from 1 species
UCCUUGGUGGUCCAAUGGCUAAGAUUCUUCACUCCCAAUGCAGGGGCCCAGGUUCGAUCCCUGGUCAGGGUA